GCGGCGGCUCUCCCAGUCUGGCCCGGCCACCCUCCUGGUCCCCCUGCCCCUCCUCAGCCAUCUCUGCUUCUGUCUGCCCCAAGCCUGCAGGCUCUGUUAAUGGUGAAGACCUUUCUGUUCCACUUCCUUCCCAAUGAAUGGAUCUGCAGGACAGCUUCUUCAGCAUUGAAUUUCCCUCUUUAUCUAAAUACUCCAAGGUCCAAGGUCAGACAAAGGCCUUCUGGAGCUGGCCAUUAUACACUGGGCAUGUU